UCGGUAAUUCCAGCUCCNAUAGCGUAUAUUAAAGUUGUUGCAGUUAAAAAGCUCGUAGUUGGAUUUGUGGCUGUGCUUGGGAGCCAUUUUUGGAUUCCUUAAGCACGACCAUCUUUGGGAGGAAUUCGUGUGGCAUUAGCUUGUUGCAUGGGGGAUACUCAACGUUUACUGUGAAAAAAUCAGCGCGUUCAAAGCAAGCUUAUGCUGUGAAUGUAUUAGCAUGGAAUAAUAAGAUAGGACCUUGGUACUAUUUUGUUGGUUUGUGCACCGAGGUAAUGAUUAAUAGGGACAGUUGGGGGUAUUCGUAUUCCAUUGUCAGAGGUGAAAUUCUUGGAUUUUUGGAAGACGAACUACUGCGAAAGCAUUUACCAAGGAUGUUUUCAUUAAUCAAGAACGAAAGUUAGGGGAUCGAAGAUGAUUAGAUACCAUCGUAGUCUUAACCAUAAACUAUGCCGACAAGGGAUUGGUAGAGUUUCGUAAUGUCUCUAUCAGCACCUUAGGAGAAAUCAUAAGUCUUUGGGUUCCGGGGGGAGUAUGGUCGCAAGGCUGAAACUUAAAGAAAUUGACGGAGUAG
rnacentral:rRNA from 1 species